GGAAAUGUAUCCAUUGGUAGGGUAAGAUAUUUGCUAAAUAUUGUGUUUUAACACUUAGAUGUUCGAAUCAUCUCUUUUCCG
rnacentral:tRNA from 2 species